rnacentral:tRNA from 31 species
UCGGUUCGACUCCGAUAGCGGGCU